rnacentral:misc_RNA from 1 species
AACUUUCGACAAUGGAUCACUGCCACAUGCUGUUCGAUUCGAACGAGUUUCUUUACAUCGAUUAGGAGGCAUUCCAUGAUCGAAAAAUUUUCUCAUCAUUGGCCCGUCACUUCCCGCCGCGAGUUUUUCAACCGUGCGGGCAGCGGCCUCGCGUCGAUCGCACUCUCCAGCAUGUUGCAAGGGGCCUCCAACGCGCCGCUUGACCCACUCGCGCCGAAGACGCCGCAUCACACUCCGAAGGCGAAGGCGGUCAUCUGGCUGUUCAUGGAAGGCGGCCCGAGCCACGUCGAUCUGUUCGAUCCCAAACCGAAGCUCACUGAGUUGAAUGGAAAGCCGAUCCCGGAAUCCUUCGGCAAGCCGAUUACCGCGAUGGGUACCGCAAGCAACACCCUCAUGGCCUCCCAGCGCACAUUUAAGCAUAUCAAUAAGCGGAGGCU